CAGUCGCCACGGUAAUACGGAGGGUGCAAGCGUUAAUCGGAAUUACUGGGCGUAAAGCGCACGCAGGCGGUCUGACAAGUCAGAUGUGAAAUCCCCGGGCUUAACCUGGGAACUGCAUUUGAAACUGUCAGGCUGGAGUCUUGUAGAGGGGGGUAGAAUUCCAGGUGUAGCGGUGAAAUGCGUAGAGAUCUGGAGGAAUACCGGUGGCGAAGGCGGCCCCCUGGACAAAGACUGACGCUCAGGUGCGAAAGCGUGGGGAGCAAACAGGAUUAGAUACCCGCGUAGUCCCUGUCUCUUAUAA
rnacentral:rRNA from 1 species